GACGAACGCUGGCGGCGUGCCUAAUACAUGCAAGUCGAACGCUGAAGAGAGGAGCUUGCUCUUCUUGGAUGAGUUGCGAACGGGUGAGUAACGCGUAGGUAACCUGCCUUGUAGCGGGGGAUAACUAUUGGAAACGAUAGCUAAUACCGCAUAACAAUGGAUGACACAUGUCAUUUAUUUGAAAGGGGCAAUUGCUCCACUACAAGAUGGACCUGCGUUGUAUUAGCUAGUAGGUGAGGUAAUGGCUCACCUAGGCGAAGGUACAUAGCCGACCUGCGAGGGUGGUCGGCCAACCUGGGACUGAGACACGGCCCAGACUCCUACGGGAGGCAGCAGUAGGGAAACUUCGGCAAUGGGGGCAACCCUGACCGGGCAACGCCGCGGGAGUGAAGAAGGGUGUCGGAUCGUAAAGCUCUGUUGUAAGUCAAGAACGGGUGUGAGAGUGGAAAGUUCACACUGUGACGGUAGCUUACCAGAAAGGGACGGCUAACUACGUG
rnacentral:rRNA from 1 species